UGCGCUGGAAGAACUUGGCCCGGAGGUUCCUCGAGGAAGGACUCCGAAGCGCAAUUCUCCAAGGGGAAGAGAAUUCGCUCGCGCGCUCUCUUUGCGCAGGAUCUGAAGCCGGGAUGAGCGCCCGGACGGUGGGACAGGAAAACGCUGAGUGUGCGAGAAGAAACUACUCGUCCUUCGCGAAUUUAAAGCAACCCCCCCCCAAAAAGCAAUACUGUAUUUUGUUAGGGUGCUGGGACGCGUCUGAGAGGUUUCAGACAAGAAUUCAAGACCUCUACAUCCUCCCUGAAAUGAUGUGAGGAGGGGAGGGAGGAGUAUCCUCAGCAUCCUACACAGCUGGAGGGAGUUUUGUACGCCAUGUGGCCUGAGGCACAAAAUCCAGCGCUACAGCAUGUUCAGCAGGUGGCUGUCAAGACUCUGCCUGAAGCCCUCCAGUGAGGGAGCUCCUCACCCCAGAAAUUGGCUCCAUGAAACCCUAGGAUAAAUUCACAAAGUCUCCUUCGGACAUUAAUCGAAACAAGUCCAGGUUAGGUCAUCUCUCAACUCCAUUCCCAGAAAUCGAAACACUGAGACCUGUUCCACGCACUUCCCCUCAAUAAUAAGUGGCUGAAUAUUCAAUUUCCAUUUCCUAAAGUCUAAACAUCAAAAUUACAAAGUGAACUUCCACAACCAAAGAGGAAAAUGUCGAAAUUAUACAGCCUGCUCCUUGAAUGGGAAGUGAAAGAUGAGGACAGACAGUGACAUCAUUCGUCUCCACAAAGAAGCGAGAGCCAAUCGUCAGAGGUUUCAGGGUCCGAGGGGGUUUCUCUAUUCUGUGUGAAGGACAAUUUACUUC